CGUGCCAGCAGCCGCGGUAAGACGGAGGAUGCAAGUGUUAUCCGGAAUCACUGGGCGUAAAGCGUCUGUAGGUGGCUUAAUAAGUCAACUGUUAAAUCUUGAAGCUCAACUUCAAAAUCGCAGUCGAAACUAUUAGACUAGAGUAUAGUAGAGGUAAAGGGAAUUUCCAGUGGAGCGGUGAAAUGCGUAGAGAUUGGAAAGAACACCGAUGGCGAAGGCACUUUACUGGGCUAUUACUGACACUCAGAGACGAAAGCUAGGGUAGCAAAUGGGAUUAGAUACCCCAGUAGUCCUAGCCGUAAACAAUGGAUACUAGGUGUUGAACAGAUCGACCUGUGCAGUACCAAAGCUAACGCGUUAAGUAUCCCGCCUGGGAAGUAUGCACGCAAGUGUGAAACUCAAAGGAAUUGACGGGGACCCGCACAAGCGGUGGAGUAUGUGGCUUAAUUCGAUGCAACGCGAAGAACCUUACCUAGGCUUGACAUGGAUUUCUAAGCACGUGAAAGCGUGUGACCCUUCGGGGGACUUCCACAGGUGCUGCAUGGCCGUCGUCAGCUCGUGUCGUGAGAUGUUGGGUUAA
rnacentral:rRNA from 1 species